UUCAAACGUUAUAAACGCCUGACCUGUGGUAGGAUAAUCAAAAGAACGAGCAUUUUCAAUCUGUUGGCUUAUUUUAUAAAGCUUAGCCGAAUAAAAAUCGAUUGCGUCAAUCUUUUGACCAAAAAUACCAAAAAAAUGAGUUUUUAUUAACGGAUGGCAUUGAUGAUGUUGCCAAGGAACCUCCAAAAGUUGUUCUGGUGUUGAUUCAAGUUCUGCUCUGUUUGGACUAAGAUAAUUCGAAGGAGGUAAAGUGGAAAUUCCAAGCUUUUUG